GACGAACGCUGGCGGCGUGCUUAACACAUGCAAGUCGAACGGAAAGGCCCUGCUUUUGUGGGGUGCUCGAGUGGCGAACGGGUGAGUAACACGUGAGUAACCUGCCCUUGACUUUGGGAUAACUUCAGGAAACUGGGGCUAAUACCGGAUAGGAGCUCCUGCUGCAUGGUGGGGGUUGGAAAGUUUCGGCGGUUGGGGAUGGACUCGCGGCUUAUCAGCUUGUUGGUGGGGUAGUGGCUUACCAAGGCUUUGACGGGUAGCCGGCCUGAGAGGGUGACCGGCCACAUGGGGACUGAGAUACGGCCCAGACUCCUACGUGAGGCAGCAGUGGGGAAUAUUGCACAAUGGGCGGAAGCCUGAUGCAGCAACGCCGCGUGCGGGAUGACGGCCUUCGGGUUGUAAACCGCUUUCGCCUGUGACGAAGCGUGAGUGACGGUAAUGGGUAAAGAAGCACCGGCUAACUACGUG
rnacentral:rRNA from 1 species